CGAGUGGAUUGGCUGCUCCGGCUUACCGGAAGUGCCGCUCAAGCCCGUGCUCUACUGCGCUUGCGCAGUCGUCCCCUGUAAUAUGCGCGUCUCCGGUUACUUCUUUGCUGGCGUCUUAGUCCAUUUGUUUGGCUCUUUGUGCUGCGCAAUGUCGUCGUGUUGGUGGCGGUCUUCAGUAACCGGGACCUUGGAGGCUGGGAGGGAUAGCUGAUGUGCAGGGCCAGCACUGGGGGCGAGCUCAGGGCGGGCAGGGAUGUGCUCGAGGAGUGAGGCCCGCAACCCUGCAGAGGGCGCCCGGUCCUGUUGACUCACUCCUUGCUGGGGUGAGACAGUUGUUAGGGUUAAGUUUGCAUUUCAGAACGUUCUGGUAAGGGCUUUGUAGCAGGGUGAGAGUGAAGACCUGUGCAAGAGAAGAAGCCAUAAGGGUUCAAGAUGCCAGGCGAAGCCACUUACCAACCUUUGCUCGUCCCACGCCUGGGAGAACUCGAGUGGUUUCCUCUAACUGCACAGGUUACCUCUUAGCACCCUGGUGCAACUCCUAUUCAUGUUUCCCCAUACCAGACUUCUCAGCUCUAGGUCACCUCCCUUUCAUUUCCUGCAGGCACUUCACAUAAAUUUUCUGUUUCCACACCAUUUCUGACCUUUAAGAAUUUCUCAUUUCUGUUUUCUUUCCCACGCGGUAGCACAGGCCACCGCUAAGCACAGUCAUAGGGAGAUACCUGUUGAAAUGUGCGCCAGCCCCUCAGGCUAUGACACCCUCGAGGACAUGGUCAGUGCUCCAAAAUCACAGCGCUCAGCAUACAGCCUGACUCCAUCCAAGGGAAGUUAGGCAACCCGCUUCCUUGUCCCCCCCCCACCCCUAGUCAGAGCCCGUCCUUCUAGUUUCUCCGUAUCUCAUGUAUUCAAUCUUUUCUCUCCAUCCAAAUUCUCAUCCUCUCUCCAAGGACCACUGUGAGCCAUUUCUACUCUGUCCAGUUCAACAGCUGUCUCACCUGGAAAGCCACUUUUCCUGUUCACCUGCCUCUGGAGGCCCACCUUUCCCAAGCCCUACAUCACAGCCUCUGAGAUUUGGUUAUUCCUUCCGGGAAACUCGCCUCUCUGACCUCUCUCCUCAGCUAGAGACCACCUGCCUCCUUUCUCCACAAGGAUGUUUCAAAGGCUGCUAAAACUUGACAUUUCCUAAAAUAAAUACUUGGUUUCUGCUUUAAACCAGUCCACUUACUCUCUGUGCUUCAUCCAAAUGGUAAAGCUGAAGGCCUGAGCAUCAUUCUAGACUUCACUGGUCUCCAAAUCCCCAUAUCCAAUCAUUAAACUAUUCUUAUCCAUUCAGCCUCCUAAACAGCUCUGUGACUCACCCUUUGCUAUCCUCUCACACACAUGAAGGGGGUCCUAGCUAGUCAAAAGGCUGAGAUGAGAGGAUCCCUUGAGCCCAUCAGAUUGGGCUUCAGUGAGCUCUAAUUGUGCUACUGUACUCCAGCUUGGGUAACAGAGUGAGACACUGUCUCAAAAAAAAAAAAAAAAAAAAAAAAUCUGAAAUCCAAAA
rnacentral:lncRNA from 1 species